AUGCAGGCAGGGGGCUGGGAGGGGGGGGGCGGGGGGGUGGGGGGGGGGGGGGUGGUAAGGUCUGGGACCAUCCUGAGCCCCAGGAUCUGCCCCUGUACCCCGGGAUCCAUCCCUGCACCUCCCUGGCACCCCAGGAUCUGUUCUCCAUCCCAGGAUCCAUCCUACACCCUCCUCAUCACCCCAGGAUCCAUCCCACAUCCUUCCCCAGCACCCCAGGAUCCAUCCCAGCACCCCAGGAUCAGUUCCACACCCUCCCCAGCAACCCCAGGAUCAGUCCUGGCACCCCUGGAUCCAUUCCAUGUCCUCCUCAGCACCCCAGGAUCCAUCCCACAUCCUUCUCUGCCCCCGAGGAUCCAUCCCAGCACCCCAGGAUCCAUCCCAUGCCCUCCCUGGCACCCCAGGAUCCAUCCUGUGUCACUCCCAGCACCCCAGGAUCCAUCCCAGCACCCCGGGAUCUGUCCCAUGCCUUCCCUGGCACUCCGGGAUCCAUCCCAGCACCACAGGAUCUGUUCCAUGCCCUCCCCAGAGCCCCAGGAUCCAUCCUGCACCCUCCCCAGCACCCCAGGAUCUGUCCUGACACCCCAGGAUCCAUUCCAUGUCCUCUUCAGCAUCCCAGCAUCCAUCCUACAUCCUUCCCUGCACCCCAGGAUCCAUCCCAUGCCCUCCCCAGCACCCCUGGAUCCAUCCUGGUACCCCAGGAUCUGUCCCUGCACCCCGGGAUCCAUCCUGCACCCUCCCCAGGAUCCAUCCCAUGUCCUCCCCAGCACCCUGGGAUCCAUCCCAGCACCCCGGGAUCCAUCCCAUGCCCUUCCCAGCACCCCAGGAUCCGUCCUGGCACCCCUGGAUCCAUUCCAUGUCCUCCUCAGCACCCCAGGAUCCAUCCCACACCCUUCCCUGCACCCCAGGAUCCAUCCCUGCCCCCCACCAUCCCCACCCCAGAUCCAAGAUGGGGGGGACCCCAGCAGUCACCAAGGAAAGGGGGGUGGGGACAGACAGAGGAGCCAGAAUUCCCCUUUUUUCCAGGAAGCAGCAGGUUAG
rnacentral:lncRNA from 1 species